ACCCGCUGAACUUAAGCAUAUCAAUAAGCGGAGGAAAAGAAACCAACAGGGAUUGCCCUAGUAACGGCGAGUGAAGCGGCAACAGCUCAAAUUUGAAAUCUGGCGUCUUUGGCGUCCGAGUUGUAAUUUGCAGAGGGCGCUUUGGCAUUGGCAGCGGUCCAAGUUCCUUGGAACAGGACGUCACAGAGGGUGAGAAUCCCGUACGUGGUCGCUAGCCUUUACCGUGUAAAGCCCCUUCGACGAGUCGAGUUGUUUGGGAAUGCAGCUCUAAAUGGGAGGUAAAUUUCUUCUAAAGCUAAAUACUGGCCAGAGACCGAUAGCGCACAAGUAGAGUGAUCGAAAGAUGAAAAGCACUUUGGAAAGAGGGUUAAAAAGCACGUGAAAUUGUUGAAAGGGAAGCGCUUGCAGCCAGACUUGCCUGUAGUUGCUCAUCCGGGUUUUUACCCGGUGCACUCUUCUAUAGGCAGGCCAGCAUCAGUUUGGGCGGUUGGAUAAAGGUCUCUGUCAUGUACCUCUCUUCGGGGAGAACUUAUAGGGGAGACGACAUGCAACCAGCCCGGACUGAGGUCCGCGCAUCUGCUAGGAUGCUGGCGUAAUGGCUGU
rnacentral:rRNA from 1 species